rnacentral:rRNA from 1 species
GACGAACGCUGGCGGCGUGCCUAAUACAUGCAAGUUGAGCGCUGAAGGUUGGUACUUGUACCAACUGGAUGAGCAGCGAACGGGUGAGUAACGCGUGGGGAAUCUGCCUUUGAGCGGGGCACAACAUUUGGAAACGAAUGCUAAUACCGCAUAAAAACUUUAAACACAAGUUUUAAGUUUGAAAGAUGCAAUUGCAUCACUCAAAGAUGAUCCCGCGUUGUAUUAGCUAGUUGGUGAGGUAAAGGCUCACCAAGGCGAUGAUACAUAGCCGACCUGAGAGGGUGAUCGGCCACAUUGGGACUGAGACACGGCCCAAACUCCUACGGGAGGCAGCAGUAGGGAAUCUUCGGCAAUGGACGAAAGUCUGACCGAGCAACGCCGCGUGAGUGAAGAAGGUUUUCGGAUCGUAAAACUCUGUUGGUAGAGAAGAACGUUGGUGAGAGUGGAAAGCUCAUCAAGUGACGGUAACUACCCAGAAAGGGACGGCUAACUACGUG